GGCCCCCCCGGCCCCCCCGGCCCGCCCCCGCCGUGCCUAUCCCGGGCGGCGCCGCGCCCCGCCACUGCCCGCUCCGCUCCGCACCGCUCCGCUCCGCACCGCCCCCCCCCGCCAUGCCGUCCCAGAUGGAGCACGCCAUGGAGACCCUCAUGUUCACCUUCCACAAGUACGCGGGGGACAAGAACCACCUCAGCAAGGAGGACCUGCGGGCCCUCAUGGAGAAGGAGUUCCCCGGCUUCCUGGAGAACCAGCGGGACCCGAUGGCGCUGGACAAGAUCAUGCGGGACCUGGAGCAGAGCUGGGACGGGCGCGUGGGCUUCCAGGGCUUCUUCUCGCUGGUGGCCGGGCUCACCAUCGCCUGCAACGACUACUUCGUGCUGCACAUGAAGCAGAAGGGCCGGAAGUGAGCGGGGGGCUGCCCCCCGCCCGGGGGGCUGCCCCGACACCCCUGGGUGCUGCCCCCCGCCCUGGGGUGCUGCCCCGACACCCCCUGCUGCCCCCCCCACCCCAAUAAAGGUGUUUUCUACUACA